AUAGUACAUACUAUCAGGAAGGUAUUAGGAUUGAGUUAUUUAUUUUUUAAUAAAUCACUUGGAUUAAUCAUUCAUUUUGACAGCACAUGUUUAUUGUGUAUUGACAACCAUACAAGGGUAAUUGUUACUAAUCCUGCCCUGGUACACCAAUUUUCUCAUCCAUUGCCCUCACAGAUUCCUACAGCUAAGCUUGGAUGUACAUUUACAUUAAUGUAUAGGUUAUUGAUGACGUGACUCUGAUUUUUGACUUUUGCACCAUUAGAAUACUUAUACGUAACUAACUAGUCAUCAUAUCUUCUGCUCCAUGAAACACAUGUUAAUGCUCAGGAGUACACAUAUAUUCUUUAUCUUUAAUGUAUUUGCAUUGUACUAAAAUGCAUUUAUUUUCAAUGGGCAUAUAUGUGACUGAAAUGGUAGCCUAGUGCAUCUUACAUUUUUCAAUAUUAACAUUUUAAUAUAACAUUUGUCAUUACGGCCUUUAGAAAAAUAUUUUUUUGAGGAGGUGGGGUAUGGCACAAUAUGGUCCGUAUGACGUAAGCUUUUGGCAUUUUCCUUACAUUACUUCUACUUUUAUACUUUAAGUAGUUUUAAAACCAGUACUUUUAUACUUUUACUUGAGUAAAAAGCUUGAGUUGAUACUUCAACUUGUACAAAAGUCUUUUUAAACGCUAGUAUUUAUACUUCUACUUGAGUAAUGAAUGUGAAUACUUUUGACACCUCUGAAACAGAGACACUGAGAGCUGUUGAUGAAGAGCUUCGUGUGUGUCUUUCUUCAAUUCCUGCCAGGAUAUCAGCUCUGUGUUCAUCCAAACAGGCCCAGAUUUCACACUGAGUUCACCGAGCUGUCCACCAUAUUUUACCUCGACCUCCUUCAGCUCCAGGGACCUGACUCCUAAGCCCAGCAGACAAUUACAACAGAAGACAAGCCGUUGGGGUGUUUUUGGAAAGAAUGGACGCCAUGUCCUCCAGACAAAGACAAAAAGGUUCAUCCAGAUUGCUACCAGGAACAGGUUCAACAGCCAGAGUCUGUCAUGGUCUGGGGUUGUGUCAGUGCCCUUGGCAAAGGUCACUUACACUUCUGUGAUGGCUCCAUUA